GAAGCUGAAUAACUAAACUCAAAAACAUCUUAUAAUCAACCACCAUGCAAUAAUGCUCAAUAAAGAGAAAUACCUCUCUAUUUAUAUGUUGCAAGUAAAUGGAACCAUUGCAAGUCCUAGGAAUUCCAGGGUGUUGUAAAUUACAACCAUUCAAAAUCUUUACAAGCACCCUAGACAUAAUAAAUAUCCCACAAAACAAACAAUAAUAGUUUAUUUCUGCCAUCUUUCCAGUAAUGUAUAUACUAAAGCAUAAGUACAGGAGUCUCUCAUGUGAAUCAUGAAUGUGAGUCUAAACAGAAAAUGCUUAGAAAAUUGUAAAAUAUUAAACAUCUAUUCUCCUCAACUGAUCAAAAAACUAAGUGAAGUAUAUUAGAGGACAUUCUCUCCACUCCCCAUAACCCAGCAGCCCAAAACAUACCCCCUUGUUGUUGGUCAUUCUCUCGACUUCCAAUAAUCUUAAGCAAGUACCUGCAAGAGAAUCAAGAAAAUCAUAUUAAUAAUCUUUAAGCUCAUAAUAUCAGGUGGGAUGACUUUGAGUUGAAGAUUAUACAUAUCAAUGCUUUUUGCCCCACCCCCAAAAGAAAACAAACCAAUUCAAGGGGAAAAGGCACUGUAGCCUGAGCACAACCCACCAAUCCCCAUGUAAAUAUGUUAAUUAUAACUCCACAAAAUGGCCUAAAAAGAGAAGAUCUUUCACAUUAGAGGGGCAAAUUAAUACUUUGCCAACACACCAAAUAUAAUAAACACAUCUCGAAAAUAAGGAGUUAUGUACAUACAUAGUAAUGUUUUUAACAAUUGCUCACUAAUUGAUUCUCCAUCCAUUUUACAUUAUUUGGAACAUUUUGUACUUAAAAAAUAAUAAGUAUAUGUUACUAUAUCAAUCAAAUUUGAUUUCAUUCAUUUACUAUUAAAACCAUCUACACCUAAAUCAAUGCAUGUAAACUAAAAAUUACACUGAUUUGCAUUCCUCAAAAGUCAAGUGAAUAAAUUUGAGACCUAGGUACCCCAAGAAAGCAAACAUAUUUAUCUUUUAUUGGGGUAUGGCAGAAACCAUAAAAUGUGUUAUGUAACAAGUAAAAAGAUUAGCUUAGACAAACUGUCCACCCAUUAAGACAUUGUGAUGUGAUGACUGCUUCUUUUCCCACAAACUUAUCUGGUGUCCUCUUGUUUCCCUGCAAAGUUUGUUUUUUAGCUUUAGUAUGCCCUAAGGUACUCACGGUAGUAAGGAAAAGUAUAAUGUUAUAUGGUAUCUGAAGUCUGAACUCACCUUAUUAACAACUUUCUCAUUCACUGUAAAUGGAUAUGUGCUAACAACUUGUUUUCACUUUUUUAUUUUGUUUUAGACAAUUCAUUCUCUGAACCAUUCCUACUAAUAUAUGGUUUUGUUUUUAAUAAGUAAAACUUCGUUAGAAAGUAGAAACCACCAAUAGCAGGAAAAAUGGUGAGAAAAAACCUCUGAUUAUUAUUAGUCUAUUAAUUCAUUCUUUUUCUCAAAAAGCGUGAACAAUAUGACAUACAACCACUACUUAUCACAAAUUAAGGAUAUCAAUUUUACACAAAGAAGUAUCAAACAAUGCAUGUAUACAAUUCAGUAACAGUGAAAUUUAUUUCUAAAGAAUCCUUGAUUAUUGUGCUUUUAAAUACUCUUAUUACUUAAAAACUAGAGAUUUUGGAUCACAGCUCCAAAUAAGCAAUUAAGCAUUUUUAUCUUUUAUGUGGCCUACAACUUCCCUCUUACUUUUUGAAUUUACUUAAAUCUCAUCCCAUUAUCUAUCAUAAUUUUUCCUAUCUUUGUGCCUGUGAAUGUGUCUCCUAACUCGAGUUGCUAUACCCCACAAUGAUGUUAACCUUUGUAGUUCAGAUACCUUGCUUAUAAAUUCAAGACAAUGGAAAGGCCAGAUUACAAGGGUACCUAAAACUAUACAAGCAUUAAGAAACUAACUUGCAUGUAAACUGUAAUAUUAUAAAAAGAAAAAACUAUCGAUUGAAACAAAAUUUAAUAGCCUGAUCGAUUACCAGUAAUUUUGCCACGAUUCCUUUUCACAGCAAGCGGACGAUCUGCAGUCAAUUUCGAGCUAGGGUUCCAAUUCAAAAUCGCAUAAAUCGCAGAAUGUUUGCAGUAAUCGCCGUCCGCUAGAAAUUGUAGAGAAACUUAAGAAUUUAUUAUAUUUAUAUAUAAGGGUAAUAUAGUA
rnacentral:lncRNA from 1 species